rnacentral:rRNA from 1 species
UACGGGGGGGCAAGCGUUGUUCGGAAUUACUGGGCGUAAAGGGCUCGUAGGCGGCCAACUAAGUCAUACGUGAAAUCCCUCGGCUUAACCGGGGAACUGCGUCUGAUACUGGAUGGCUUGAGUUCGGGAGAGGGAUGCGGAAUUCCAGGUGUAGCGGUGGAAAUGCGUAGAUAUCUGGAGGAACACCGGUGGCGAAGGCGGCAUCCUGGACCGAUACUGACGCUGAGGAGCGAAAGCCAGGGGAGCAAAGCGGG